UCCUCUAAUUUAAUAAUUCUACACAGUUAUCUGUUAUAAAUCGACUCAGAUGAAUAUUCUAUUAUUUAGAUGUACAAUAUAAGGAAAGUACUAGAAAAUUAUGUCAAUUUUAUAUGAUAUAAUCAAGAAGUUCUAUUUCUGUGGAAGGAUUACAUAUUAUACAUUGAACAAAAUUUAAUUAUACUACACAAUUCAUAUUAUUUCUACGGAAAAGGAAUCUUAACCUCACAAAUCAGGAAUUUUAUCCAUUAUCAACGUGUUGGUGCGCGAUUCUACGCGAAAUUCUAACCCGUUAACGAAACGAAAGGUAAAUGUAGUUAGUGCACUUCGAUAAUGCGGUUUGCCAAAAGUUCGAUGAACCACAAGAUGACAGAAAAGUAAAAACAAGAAUCAAAUUUUGUAUUUAUAAGAGUGAUUAAUUUGAAUUAGAAUAAUUUCAUAGGAAUUCCAAAUGCUGUAUGAACAGAAAACAUGACAAAUAAUCAGUUAACUUCCAAAUGGAGCUGGACUAGCCUUUGUGGCACUGAGGAAUUUCAAAUAUGGUCUCAAGAUCGUCAUGAUUUUGGACUUUGUUUUCAACAACUAUGUUUUCAUAUACCAGUACUAACCUUAUUAGCUGUUUGUUCUUCCUAUUAUUUUGGAGUCCAAAUAGGUUUCGUAAGGAGGACUAAAUUUCAAAAAAUUGCAAUUUUAGCUAGAAGUAUAAUCAGUCUCAUUUUAUUGUUCACUCCGAUAUUACAAAUAUACAAUAGUAUUCAUUCUAAAGAAGAAAAUAAAGAAAACGCCGCGUUUUUACUUUGUGCAGUCCAAGCUAUAUCAUGGUGCUCACAUUUUCUUUACACAUUGGGUUUGAGAAAGCGAUUAGGAAAUAAUCCGAGAGGUCCAACAUUUAUGUGUAUUAUAUGGUCCCUUAUCUUUGCUUUAACUGUAGUAUCAACAAGAAGUCAAUAUCUGGAAUAUUUAUUACAUCCAAAUGAGACUACAAAAUUGUCAUUUGUGAUUAGCAUAUGUUACCUCAUAUUACAAUUUCUAUAUGCCAUAACAUUAAUACCUGGUUCUGAAGGCUCUGUAAGCUUAAGUGAAUUAGACCAAUACUCAGAGACACCAGAACGUCAGCCGUUGAUAACUAGCAAUGCGUAUAUACGUUUUGUUGAAGAAGGUGACCCAAGUUAUCUUGGAGUGGCUAUGGAAAAUGUUAACUGGUUCUCUUAUUUAUUCUUUUCUUGGGUUUAUUCUCUUAUAAGAAAAGGCACUGAGGACAAAAUUGUUAGUCCUGAGGAUUUAUAUGAUUUGCCAGUAUCAAUCAACAGUGAUUAUAAUACUAAUAAAUUACAAGCUUAUUUAAAUUUAGAAAAUGAUCCAGAAGCUGUAAGAGAAGUUGAGAUUUCUUCAGCAUCAACAAGUUAUAGUUUAUUGAGGGCACUUCAUAAGUGCUAUGCUUUGCAGUUUUAUAGCAUUGGUAUUCUUAGGUUGACUGCCGAUUGUUGUGGAUUUGCUGGACCAAUGUUAUUAAAUAAGUUGGUUAGUUUCAUUGAAAAUAAGACAGUUGAUAUGAAAUGGGGUUACAUGUACGCUGUAGGACUCAUUAUUACUACCACUUUUGCUGCUCUUUGUGAUUCCCAUUUUAAUUUCUUGAUGUCGGUGGUUGGUCUGAAAAUGCGAGGUGCUAUAAUAAAUAGUAUAUACAGAAAAGUAUUAUCUGUUCGAUCAACAAUACUUUUAUCAAAAUUGUCUGUUGGAGAAAUAAUGAAUUACAUGUCAACCGAUACAGAUCGUAUCGUGAAUUCUUGUCCAAGUUUUCACGCAUUAUGGAGCAUACCGUUUCAGCUCGUCGUAACUCUUUAUUUGCUUUACGAACAAGUUGGUUUAGCAUUUUUGGCCGGUGUUAUAUUCACCAUAAUACUUAUUCCGAUAAACAAAUACAUUGCUAACAAAAUAGGGCAGCUCAGUACUAAAAUAAUGGAACAAAAAGAUGAAAGGGUGAAAUUAAUAUCGGAAAUUUUAAGAAGUAUCAGAGCAAUUAAAUUGUAUGUUUGGGAACAGCAUUUCGUUCGAAAUAUUACAAAAAAACGAGAUGCGGAACUGAAGUACUUGAAAAGUCGUAAAUAUUUGGAUGCACUUUGUGUAUAUUUCUGGGCAACUACUCCUGUAAUCAUAUCCAUUUUAACAUUUAUCACUUACGUUCUUAUGGGAAAUAAGCUAACAGCUGCGACUGUAUUCACUAGUAUCGCAUUAUUGAAUAUGCUAGUUAGUCCAUUAAAUGCGUUUCCUUGGGUAUUGAAUGGUAUGACCGAAGCUUGGGUAUCAAUAAAGCGCAUCCAAAAAUUAUUAGAUCUUCCUUUCAUGGAUCUUGAUAAAAUCUAUGAUCAAUCUGCACUAGAUGAAGGAAAUACCGAUAAUGUGAUUAUUAAUGGUACUUUUGAAUGGGAACAGGCGGUAGCCCCUAUAAAAAUUUCAAAAGGAAAAGGUAAAAUGACAAAAAAUGUCACUGUUCCAAUUAUAAGUGAACAUGAACAAUCUUCAGCCAGUGAAACAACGGACAAAGUUAUUUUUAAAUUAGUAGAUAUAAAUUUGAAGAUUAAGAAGGGAGAUUUUAUUGGAGUCAUAGGUUCUGUAGGUUGUGGAAAAUCUACACUUAUUUCUUCCAUUUUAGGAGAACUCUCGAAAGAAAGUGUUACUAUUGCAGUGAAAAAUCUCGAAGCAGGAUUUGGUCUGGUUACUCAACAGCCGUGGUUGCAGAGAGGUACUAUACGAGAUAACAUAUUAUUUGGAAAACCUUAUGAAGAAAAAAAGUACAUGAAUGUUAUUUUUGCUAGUGGGUUAGUUGAAGACCUAAUGAUGUUACCGUCUCGUGACAACACAGAAGUAGGAGAUAGUGGCGGAACUUUAUCGGGUGGACAAAAAGCUAGAAUAGCUCUGGCCAGAGCUCUUUAUCAAGAAAAACCCAUAUAUCUUUUGGAUGAUAUUCUUUCGGCAGUUGACGUUAAAGUUGGCAAACAUAUUUUUCAGCAUUGCAUAAUGGAUAUGUUACAACAUAAGACCAGGAUACUAUGUACGCAUAAUAUGAAAUAUUUGUUGCAAGCUGACCAAAUAGUUGUAUUAGAAAACGGUAGAAUCACAACUGUGGGAAAACCCACUGAAGUUCUUCGAAAUAUCAACGACACCCUUUCCGUUGAUUUGGAAUUGGAGGAUUCAGUUUCCACUGAUUUUGGAGAGUUGACUAACUUUGUUAACAUCGAAAAUAUUUUUUGCGAGGAUGAUUCCCAGGAUGAUCAAGAUACUGGAUUAUUUGAAGAAAUUAGCGAAAGAGGCAGUUUGAAUUUUAAUGUCAUAGUUUCUUAUUGGAAAGGUAUCGGACAUUUGAUCAGUUGUUCUAUUUUGAUUGCUUUAGUUGCGAUGCAGUUCUCAAGAAAUUUGACUGACUGGUGGCUAGCCAAUGGAGUAACAGAUACAUCUCAGAAUUCCACUACUAACUUUACAUUAUAUCAUGAAGUAACUAGUAUUAGAGAUGAAAACUUGUAUUGGACGAUUUCUACAGAUAACAUGGCAACGUUUUUAAAGGUUUAUAUCGAAUUUGUGUGUAUCAACACAUUAUUCACAUUGUUAAGGGCAUUUAUAUUUGCCUAUGGUGGAAUAAGGGCUGCGAUCAAAUUCCAUAAAAUUUUGCUACGGACAGUGGUGAAAGCCAGAAGCUCGUUUUUUGAUGUCACUUCAAUAGGAAGAAUUAUAAACAGAUUUUCCAGUGAUACAUACACUGUUGAUGACUCAUUACCAUUUAUUCUAAAUAUUUUUUUGGCUCAAUUGUUUGGAUUAAUUGGUUCAAUUUGUGUAACUAUUUAUGGUCUACCAUGGAUAUGUGUAUUUCUAAUUCCAUUAAUUCCGGUUUAUACAUGGUUAUUGAAUCAGUACAGAAUAACGUCAAGAGAACUCAAAAGAAUAUCAAGUGUAACACUUUCACCUAUAUAUAACCAUUUCAGUGAAACAUUACAAGGUCUUACAACAAUUAGAGCAAUGAGAGCUGUUCAAAAAUUCAAACAUGAUAAUGACGAAAAUCUCGAAGCUAACCUCAAAGCCCAAUUCGCAAGUCAAGCUGCGGCUCGUUGGUUAGGAAUAAGACUGCAAUUUAUCGGCGUGGUUAUUAUUUCUGGAGUUAGUUUAAUAGCUGUUAUUCAACAUCAGUACGACAUUGCAGAUUCAGGAUUCAUUGGAUUGGCUAUAUCCUAUGCACUAGGAAUAACAAGUGCUCUUAGCGGUUUUGUAAAUUCCUUUACAGAAACAGAACGAGAACUGGUAGCCGUAGAACGUGUUAAUCAGUACAUCGAAUUCAUAGAAUUGGAAACUAAAUAUUUUGUUAUGGAUCCUCCUUUUGCGUGGCCAAGUCAAGGUGUUAUUAGUUUCGAUAACGUCUUUUUGCAGUAUAGGAGGCAUUUGAAUCCGUCUCUUAAUCACAUUUCAUUUACUACUAGACCCUAUGAAAAAAUUGGAGUAGUGGGUCGUACUGGAGCAGGAAAAAGUUCACUUAUAUCGGUUUUAUUUAGACUAUUUGAUCAAUAUUCAGGAUUGAUAACUAUAGAUAGUGUCGAUAUCAAGAAUAUAUCCCUUGCUGCCUUAAGAUCAAGAAUGUUCUGCAUACCUCAAGAACCAUUCUUAUUCAGUGGAACUUUGUGGGAGAAUCUCGAUCCGCUGGGAGAAUUCAAAGAUUUUGAAAUAUGGAAUGCUUUAGACAGAGUUUAUUUGACUGGUAUAAUCAAAUCACUUGGUGGAUUAGAUUACAAAAUAGACGGAAGCGGUUCAAAUUUUUCUGUUGGACAGAAACAAUUGGUUUGCUUAGCCAGAGCAGUACUUCAUAACGCAAAGGUAAGUUCUAAUUGUACAUGGUAAGCGUUUAUAAAAUUAUAUUUGAAUAACAGACAUAUACAGAUGUCUGGAUGAGAUGAAAGUGUCUAGAGAACUAAAUGGAGCUAUAACAAGCACAUAUAAGGCAGUAAAAAAAUCACUACUACGUUUGAUGAUGUAGUAUUGAUAACAAAUACUAAAAAUAAGUUUUAAUGAAUAUAUGGACUAAAGAAAUAGAAAAUAUGAAAAUACAAAAUACAAAUAGAAUAAAAUGCAAAACAACAACUGAAAGAGUAACAGCGUAUGAAUAUCUAGGAACUAUUUUCACAAAGAAUGGGAAAUUAUAGAAGAAGAAGACCAUUUAGAUAUAUAGAUAUUGACAUGGAAGUGAAAAUGAGGAUCCACAAUACAAUAACGAUACCAAUAGUAAGAAUAAUUAAACCAAAAUGAAUACAAUUAAAAUGAUAAGCGUAGGAAUAGUAGCGGGGAAAACAGAGUGAGAAAAUUAUAGAAAUUAAGAGAAGAGAAAAAAACAAAACAUGUGAUAAGAAAAUAAUAUAAUUGCUAUAGACAUAUCCUCAGAAUGAAAACAGACGGACUUACAAGGAAAGUGAUGGAAGUUGCCAGGAGAAGAGGUAAAUCGAGAAGAAAGUGGAUAGAUCAAAAAUAGAAGUUAUGAGAGAGGAAAGAAUGGAAACAUUAGGAACAAGAGAUUGAGUUCAUGACCUACCUAUUUUAUAAUAAAAUUUUCCACCAAUGAACUGUGAGAAAUAAUUCCAGCGGGAAAAUCUCUUCGACGGAAAAUUCCACAUUCAUUCUUUUACUACUAAACUGUAGAGCGGAUAGUAAGGAAUGGUCUCUAUUCAAUCUUUAUGCAACAAAUUCUUAUUGGAUAGAUUUUCAACAAUUUUACAUGAACUAUGUGCUCUUCAAAUCGAACAUAACAGAUAUCUUAGUCUGUCCAACAUAAUUCCUGUCACAAUCAUUACAGUUAAUUUUAUAGUUAUCGGUAUCACCAAAAAAUUGUUUUGACGUAUUGAUUGGAUUUAUAAACCCAUUUUAAUAAAAUUUUAAACCCAUUCUAAUAAAAAUUCCUUCUAAUCCUUUUGUAUAGAGAGCACCAGAGCAAAUAUUUCCUUAUUAAAUCGUUCGAUGUUAAGUGGAAAAUUAAUUGAACGACGUACCAGAAAAUGUACCAGAUUUUGGGUGCAAUGGAAAGAAUCUAUUGGAUGUACCUGAAAGUAGCGGUGUUAUUCCUAAAUACAUCAAAUUCUAGCCUAUUUCCAUUUAUGAAUGGACAAUUUGUAUUGAGUUUCAAAAUAAAAUCAUCUACAUUUUUCGUAUCAAAUAUAGCAAAAAUAUCAUCUAAAUACCUGCACCAUAUCAUGAGAAAAUGUUGAAACUCUUGACUAAUCAGUUUUUCAAAGUAGCUCCUGGAUAGUUCAGCCAUAAACGGUGAUAGGCAAUUGCCCAUAGCUAUUCCUUCGUGUUUUUUGUAAAAUUCGUUUUUGUAUUAGAAAUAUCAGCUCUCUAAUUAUUGGAUCCAGUAAGUCCUCAAACUACUCCAAGGCCUACGGGAUCGGUAAGUUGGACUUAUAUCAAAUUUUCCCAUCUUUAAUAUCUAUUCAAUUGUUAAAAAUGUAUCCAAUAAUAAACUGUUAGAUGCUUUGAAAGCAUUAUAAGAACAGUUUAAAUAGUGACGAGGGGCCUAUUCCUUACAGCCCACUCUACAGUUUAGUAGUCAAUGGAUGAAUGUGGAAUUUUGCGCCGAAGAAAUUCUCCCGCUGAAAUUAUUUCUCGAGAAAGGAAUUUCAUUCGUGGAAAAUUUAGUAUAAAAUAGGUAGAUCCUGUUAAUAGGUUUUAGUUUACCUUCGGUGUGGUGUAAACAGUGUGUUCAGUGUGCAACAGAAACUGGAAUCCUCCAUCAAAUGAAAAGGUAGAAGAAAAGAAAAAGUACACAAAAGCCAGCUACUAAUAUGAAUAUUAUAUACAUGCAAAAACUAUAUUUAAAAAAAAUUUUUUCUCUUUCAAUAGAUUACAGUAAACUUCCUUUUAAAAAAAUCGUUUGUUAAGGUUAAAAAAAAUUCGUUUCAGUUCAUUUCCAAUUAAUUCUGUAGAUAAUUAUUGUAUAAUAUAAUAACCAAUGAUCCAUGUUUUGAACAAUAUAUUUAUACUUUCAGCUCCUACAAAUGGAGGCUUAAAAAUAUAUUGUAAUUGGUUUUAUUUCGAUGUAUAUGUAGUUAACAAACUACAUACCUAAUAUUUUCACAACCAAAAACUAAACAUGAUGCUUCCUCAUUUGAUUAUACUUUGUGUGAUAUUUUUAAACUAUUUUGUAAUCUAUAGGAUAGAUUUAAUUGAAAUUAACGAAAUUAAUUACAAUGUACCAAAGUAAUUUUUUUUAGAAGGUCGCUCUAAUUUCUAAUAAAAUUAAUUAUUCCACAAUAUUCCUACUUCAAUACCUAUAGUAGGGGAGCCCAAGCGGGGAUUUUUGAAGUGACUCGAGCGUGUCAGAAAAUUAUAUAGGGAGAAUCCUUGCAUCCUUUAAUGUACCUCUACCAAGUAUGAACCCUCCAUAUGGUGGGGUGUGUUGAGGGGAACCCGACUGAUUGGUAAAAAAAAAUCGAUCCAUAGAAAAACUCGAGCGUGUCAGAUUAAGAAAAAGUUGAUUAAUUACAUUGAGAAGAUUGUAUAUCUCAAUAAUCUGACAAUUUGAGCGUGACAUUAAGAAACAAGCGAGUUUCGAAGUUGUAAAAAAAAACGUCACCUUGAAAUAUUCGAGCGCAUUUCAAUUUUUUUUUAUUUUGAAGGAAACACUAUUAGAAUUACAAAGAACUAAUAAUCUGACAGUUUUCAUGGGGCGAUGUUAGUAGAAUCGUGGAGCAAAGGUGAAGCGUACAGCGGCUGAGAGCUGUGUAUUCCCCACUCCGCGUCUCACUUUUUUUCUCGCUCUUUCUCUACUACUACCAGCUCUGCAUGCUCUAACGGGAUGUGAUUACAACCCAGCUUUGUACAGGCGAGGUAAAAAAAGGCCUCUACAGAUUCUAAUGGGAUCUGUAAAUAUACAAGAAGUAUUUGCAAACUUGGGCUCUGAAGCAUAUAAUAUUGAGGCAUUAUCUUCCACCGUGGAAUCGUUCAUCUGCCAUUUGUACGGGUUUAAAAAACUAGCUGACGUUAAUAUUGCUAGGAUUGAAAUAUUUAAUAAAACGUACAAAGUAAAUGAUACGUCUCAACCCUUUUCACUGAAUGUGCGUAAUUACGAUGCUUGUAAUUUGCCACCAUGUCGAUCGGAGCUGCAACAACAUUUAUUGCGAACGAAAUAUAUUGCUUGUUUGUGGAGGAACGCUCACAAUCGUAUUCCUACGGAAAUGUCACCACUAGAAUACGGAUGGAGAAAUGUGGAUGGAAAAUUGGAGCCAACUUGGUUCCUAGGAAACCAACUUCCUGAAGCGUACGAAGACAUCGUCAUAACACCUGACAUUUUAGGAGAUACUUUAGAUUCAGAAUCACGAGAUGACGAGGACGUCCAGGAAGUUGAAGUGGAAACAAACUUCAAAGAUGAGUCUAGUGGAGAUGAAGACUAAAAUAUGUAUUUUAAAUUUUAAUGAUCUGUAAUUUAUUAUAAAUUGUAAUGAUCUAUAUUUAAUUUUUUAUUAAUAAAUUAUCCAAUUUCUGUACGUAAA